UACGGGGGGGGCAAGCGUUGUUCGGAAUUACUGGGCGUAAAGGGCGCGUAGGCGGCCUGGGAAGUCUUGGGUGAAAGCCCCCGGCUCAACCGGGGAAGGGCCUGAGAAACCACUGGGCUGGAGUGCUGGAGAGGGAAGCGGAAUUCCUGGUGUAGCGGUGAAAUGCGUAGAGAUCAGGAGGAACAUCUGUGGCGAAGGCGGCUUCCUGGACAGACACUGACGCUGAGGCGCGAAAGCUAGGGGAGCAAACAGG
rnacentral:rRNA from 1 species